ACGGGGUGCAGCAGGCGCGAAAACUUCACACUGUGCGAAAGCGCGAUGAGGGAAUCCCAAGUGUUUGCUCGUAAGAGUAAACUGUUUCUUUGUUUAAAACGCAGAGAGAGUAAGGGCUGGGUAAGACGGGUGCCAGCCGCCGCGGUAAUACCUGCAGCUCAAGUGGUGAUCAUUAUUAUUGGGCCUAAAACGUCCGUAGCCGGUUUAGUAAAUGCCUGGGUAAAUCGUGUAGCUUAACUAUACGACUUCCGGGUAGACUGCUAAACUUGAGACCGGGAGAGGCUAGAGGUACUCCUGGGGUAGAGGUGAAAUUCUGUAAUCCUAGGGGGACCACCAGUGGCGAAGGCGUCUAGCUAGAACGGGUCUGACGGUGAGGGACGAAGCCCUGGGGCACAAACCGGAUUAGAUACCCGGGUAGUCCAGGGUGUAAACGCUGCUUGCUUGAUGUUAGUUGGGCUCCGAGCCCAACUAGUGUCGGAGAGAAGUUGUUAAGCAAGCUGCCUGGAAGUACGUCGCAAGGC
rnacentral:rRNA from 1 species